AUUUUAUUGAAUUUAUUUACCUUCAAUUUUCAUAAUUCGUAUUUGAUAAAGAGGCAAGCACAGUAAACAAUGUUUUUGAGCAGUAAACUGAAUUAUAGGACCUUGUUUUGUGUGUGAUAAUGAUUUAACAUACUACUUCCUGUCUCAAAAUCCUCUUGAUCCAUUGCUGACGUGGAAACACUUACGUUUUCCCCUGUGUUCAGUGUUUACAUCCUCUAAACAGAUGCCCUCGAGGGGGAGUCUACGGAACUAUGCUCAUUCUCUCACAUGGGAAAUUGAAGCCCUUUUAUCAAUAUUUUGAUUUUAUCUUGAUUCCAAACUAUCUGUUUCCGUUUACCUCAUAGAACCACUGCCUUGGUUGGUUCAUGGGUCAAACUUGUGUCUCAAAACCCCCCAAAGUGACACAAAAACACAACUGAUGGAGGACAGUGGUUCUUUCUUCUGUUAAUUUCUGAAUAUAGUGAGCACUUAAACUGAUGUUGAUUGUUUUUAGGCUGGACUUUGACAGGAGGCACAGCAGUUUAUUUUGUAUAAAAUCUAAAUUAACCCUCUUCAGGCUUUUCAGAGUAGUCUUUCUAUUUUUCUGUCCUUGAAUAUCUCUGGUCUUACACAUCUAUGCUCCUGCUCUCAGCUUUUUGUUGACUUUUUAACAGUUUUAAACUCAUCCAGUGGAAGGAGUCGAUCCAGGAUGGAGUGAAAUUACACUUUAACCCUUAAAAACGUUAAUGUUAUCCUCUGCAUUCUGCACUUUGUAAAGUAAAAUCAGGAGAUUUUCUACAUUUAAUAUACAGUUCAUAGAGGUGUUCAGAGUAAUUUGAAAGGUUAUUACAUUAAAACAGAGAAAACUAAAGAAAUUGUUACUUCUCUCAGCAAAAUAUAUCAUUUACACAUAAAAACAAGUGUCUAUGAGCAUUUGUUAAAGUACAUGGAUUUUUCUGGUGAAUCAGUGUUUGGUGAUGGUGUUUCUGUGUUCACUAUGGAGACUCUGAACAUCCAAAAGAGCCAUAUUUAAUGCUGAAAAGCUGAAUAAUUUCAAUGUAUUGAUGGGAUAAGUGGUUAAAAAGUUAAUGAUCAUCUUAUACCAGUAGAUGCUUUGGUUCAUUUCUGUUAUGAGCAUUAAACAAACAUCUGUCUUUUGUGGUGAAUAAUUUAAAUUUCCACGUUAAUUCAACAUCCCUUGGUAACAUUUAGUAACAGCUGCUGUGGCUUCAGUAAAUAUAAUUAUUUUAUGCUGAUUUUCAAAAACAUUUCUUUGGUAUAAUCUUUUACCAGCUAUUACAUUUUAAUUUCUUCAUAGACCAUUUAAAUUAAUUUAACCCAGGUUACAAUGCUUCAGCAGAUUUGUCAAUAAAAUGUUUUUUUUUACUCCUCCAUCUGACAUAAACCAAACCUUUAAGAUGAAAAGUAAAAACACAAAUAACAACAUGUAUAGCUCACAAAGUGACUGCAUUUGUUGAACAAAACACUGAGGCACAUAUUAAGAGCCAUCCAUGGAAACAUUCCAGUUGUCGGUAGUACUUGUUUCCGUUUGUAAAAUGAAAUAAAGUGCAGCUGUUUUUUUUCAUUGUGUGGGUGAAAUGUCCCACAUUGACUUGAAAACAU